CCUACGGGUGGCAGCAGUGGGGAAUAUUGGGCAAUGGGCGCAAGCCUGACCCAGCAACGCAGCGUGAAGGAAGACGGCUCUCGGGUUGUAAACUUCUUUUCUGGGGGACGAACAAAUGACGGUACCCCAGGAAUAAGCUAUGGCUAAGUACGUGCCAGCAGCCGCGUCAAUACGUAGGUGGCAAGCGUUAUCCGGAUUUAUUGGGUGUAAAGGGCGUGUAGGCGGGAAUGCAAGUCAGAUGUGAAAACUCAGGGCUCAACCCUGAGCCUGCAUUUGAAACUGGGUUUCUUGAGUGCAGGAGAGGCAAGCGGAAUUCGGGGUGUAGCGGUGAAAUGCGUAGAUAGACGGAAGAACACCGGUGGCGAAGGCGGAUUGCUGAACAGUAACUGACGCUGAGGCGCGAAAGCGUGGGGAGCAAACAGGAUUAGAUACCCGGGUAGUC
rnacentral:rRNA from 1 species